ACAACGAAGAGUUUGAUCCUGGCUCAGGAUGAACGCUAGCGACAGGCUUAACACAUGCAAGUCGAGGGGCAGCGGGGGUAGCAAUACCCGCCGGCGACCGGCGCACGGGUGAGUAACGCGUAUGCAACUUACCUAUCAGAGGGGGAUAACCCGGCGAAAGUCGGACUAAUACCGCAUGAAGCAGGGAUCCCGCAUGGGAAUAUUUGCUAAAGAUUCAUCGCUGAUAGAUAGGCAUGCGUUCCAUUAGGCAGUUGGCGGGGUAACGGCCCACCAAACCGACGAUGGAUAGGGGUUCUGAGAGGAAGGUCCCCCACAUUGGUACUGAGACACGGACCAAACUCCUACGGGAGGCAGCAGUGAGGAAUAUUGGUCAAUGGCCGAGAGGCUGAACCAGCCAAGUCGCGUGAGGGAUGAAGGUUCUAUGGAUCGUAAACCUCUUUUAUAAGGGAAUAAAGUGCGGGACGUGUCCCGUUUUGUAUGUACCUUAUGAAUAAGGAUCGGCUAACUCCGUGCCAGCAGCCGCGGUAAUACGGAGGAUCCGAGCGUUAUCCGGAUUUAUUGGGUUUAAAGGGUGCGUAGGCGGCCUUUUAAGUCAGCGGUGAAAGUCUGUGGCUCAACCAUAGAAUUGCCGUUGAAACUGGGGGGCUUGAGUAUGUUUGAGGCAGGCGGAAUGCGUGGUGUAGCGGUGAAAUGCAUAGAUAUCACGCAGAACCCCGAUUGCGAAGGCAGCCUGCCAAGCCAUGACUGACGCUGAUGCACGAAAGCGUGGGGAUCAAACAGGAUUAGAUACCCUGGUAGUCCACGCAGUAAACGAUGAUCACUAGCUGUUUGCGAUACACUGUAAGCGGCACAGCGAAAGCGUUAAGUGAUCCACCUGGGGAGUACGCCGGCAACGGUGAAACUCAAAGGAAUUGACGGGGGCCCGCACAAGCGGAGGAACAUGUGGUUUAAUUCGAUGAUACGCGAGGAACCUUACCCGGGUUUGAACGCAUUCGGACCGAGGUGGAAACACCUUUUCUAGCAAUAGCCGUUUGCGAGGUGCUGCAUGGUUGUCGUCAGCUCGUGCCGUGAGGUGUCGGCUUAAGUGCCAUAACGAGCGCAACCCUUGCCACUAGUUACUAACAGGUAAAGCUGAGGACUCUGGUGGGACUGCCAGCGUAAGCUGCGAGGAAGGCGGGGAUGACGUCAAAUCAGCACGGCCCUUACAUCCGGGGCGACACACGUGUUACAAUGGCGUGGACAAAGGGAAGCCACCUGGCGACAGGGAGCGAAUCCCCAAACCACGUCUCAGUUCGGAUCGGAGUCUGCAACCCGACUCCGUGAAGCUGGAUUCGCUAGUAAUCGCGCAUCAGCCAUGGCGCGGUGAAUACGUUCCCGGGCCUUGUACACACCGCCCGUCAAGCCAUGGGAGCCGGGGGUACCUGAAGUCCGUAACCGCGAGGAUCGGCCUAGGGUAAAACUGGUGACUGGGGCUAAGUCGUAACAAGGUAGCCGUACCGGAAGGUGCGGCUGGAACACCUCCUUU
rnacentral:rRNA from 1 species